UCCAUUCGAUUUUUGAUGAAUUUGGAUGUCAGAAUUACUUCCCUAACUCUCUUUUACAAUAAUUAUCAUUAAUGUUAAUAUCUUUACUUCUUUUUUUCAUUAUAGGUGUAAUUCAUUAAAAAAUAUGAGGAAGCUCAAUAUGAAGUAUAUUAGAUCCUAUAGGUUAAUCCAGCAGAAGCGAAAAAAAAAAAAAAACGGUAACAAGAAAAAUCUGAAGUCUGCCAACAUUCCUUCCUCCAUAUGAUGCCACAUGGAAGGACUUAGCUCUUGUUAAUCAAAUUAUUUCAUCGAUGAAAAUCCACUGUCACAUAUAGAAAAAUUAAUAAGUAAAAGGACACUGUCUAAGUAUAAUGUAAUACAAAGUAAAUAUCAUAAGAUAAAGAUAAUAAAAUGAC